UACGUAGGGUGCAAGCGUUAAUCGGAAUUACUGGGCGUAAAGCGUGCGCAGGUGGUUGCGUAAGAUGAGUGUGAAAUACCUGGGCUUAACCUGGGAAUUGCAUUCGUGACUGCGUAGCUAGAGUGUGGUAGAGGAGGGUAGAAUUCCGCGUGUAGCAGUGAAAUGCGUAGAUAUGCGGAGGAAUACCGAUGGCGAAGGCAGCCCUCUGGACCAUUACUGACACUCAUGCACGACAGCGUGGGGAGCAAACAGG
rnacentral:rRNA from 1 species